rnacentral:rRNA from 1 species
GUCCAGACUCCUACGGGAGGCAGCAGUGGGGGAUAUUGCACAAUGGGGGAAACCCUGAUGCAGCGACGCCGCGUGAGUGAAGAAGUAUUUCGGCAUGUAAAGCUCUAUCAGCAGGGAAGAAGAUGACAGUACCUGAGUAAGAAGCCCCGGCUAACUACGUGCCAGCAGCCGCGGUAAUACGUAGGGGGCAAGCGUUAUCCGGAUUUACUGGGUGUAAAGGGGGCGCAGACGGCGAUGCAAGCCAGGAGUGAAAGCCCGGGGCCCAACCCCGGGACUGCUCUUGGAACUGCGUGGCUGGAGUGCAGGAGGGGCAGGCGGAAUUCCUGGUGUAGCGGUGAAAUGCGUAGAUAUCAGGAGGAACACCGGUGGCGAAGGCGGCCUGCUGGACUGCAACUGACGUUGAGGCCCGAAAGCGUGGGGAGCAAACAGGAUUAGAUACCCGUGUAAGU